rnacentral:rRNA from 1 species
AAAGAUUAAGCCAUGCAUGUGUAAGUAGAGUUGAUAUAAAGCGAAACUGCGAACGGCUCAUUACAACAGAUAUAAUUUACUUGUUCUAUUCCUUUAAACGGAUAACUGCGGUAAUUCUGGAGCCAAUACGUGCUAAAAGACGCAUUCAGCAAUGAGUGUGUUGCAUUUAUCGGAGCUAAACCCUUCCUGGUUUUAUGCUAACUCUGGAUAACACUGCUUAUCGCAUGACCUUGUGUCGGCGAAGUUACAUUCAAGUAUCUGCCUUAUCAACUUUCGAUGGUAGUGUAUUGGACUGCCAUGGUGUUGACGGGUAACGGAGAAUCAGGGUUCGACUCCGGAGAGGGAGCCUUAGAAACGGCUACCAUGUCUAAGGACAGCAGCAGGCGCGCAACUUAUCCACUGUUCAUUGAACGAGAUAGUGACGAGAAAUAACAAGUUCGUUCUCUAUGAGGUCGAGCAUUGGAAUGGAUGAAAUCUAAACAGUUUCAUGAGUACCCACGAGAGGGCAAGUCUGGUGCCAGCAGCCGCGGUAAUUCCAGCUCUCGUAAUGUAUAGAAUUAUUGUUGCGGUUAAAAAGUUCGUAGUUGGAUUUUCGACUGUUCAAAGGUUGGCCUUAACGGGACAUACUUUUGGCAGUGUUUGCAUUCGAUUUGGAAGCAAUUUCAAAUAGAAUGCGGAUUACUUUGAACGGCUUAAGUGCUCAAGGCGAGUCUUCGGACUGAAUACCGGUGCAUGGAAUAAUGGAACAAGGUUUCGGCCGAGUUUUAUUGGUUUUGUCGGCUAAAACAAUGGUUAACAGGAACAGCUGGGGGCACUCGUAUCGCUGCGCGAGAGGUGAAAUUCGUGGACCGCAGCGAGACGCCCUAAAGCGAAAGCAUUUGCCAAGAAUG